GAAGUGUGAGAAUUCGCGAAUCCACACGUACCCCGACAA
rnacentral:sRNA from 1 species